rnacentral:lncRNA from 1 species
GUUUAAAGAGAGAAAAAAGGCACCUCUUAUGUAUGUUUGUGGAGGUCUUUCCUCCAAGGGCUUAUGAAAGCUUGCUAUUUCACAGACAGAACAUUUAUUAAUUUGGUUCAUCAUUACAAGGGUGGAAUUGUUGAGAAAAAUCUGGUGCUGGUAAAACAUUGUGAGGUACAAAGGAGACAAGAAAAAUGAGGAGCUUUUACUAUAUGAGGAAAAGGGAGAGAACUCUCCUUCACCUGUACAGGGCCUGAGUAACAUCAUGGAGCUGCCUUGCCCCUCCCCUCCGUCCUUCAUCCUGUUAUUUGUGGAAGGGGUUAGCUGCCUGGGUGGCCAAAGGCGUUGAAUCUGGAGUCUCUCAUGACCGCCGUGUUUGCUCCCCUGGCUUGUUGGCUGGGAGAGUACACUGUAAAGAAUGAUUUGCCUCUCACUUUGCUCACUCCAUUCAUUCAUUAAAUGUGGACCAGAUGGAACAAAGAAUCCCUUAUCGACCUACGGGCUCCACCUGAGACAUGACAUCCACAUGUGCUUCUUCUUUGGUUUCGAUCCGGCUUCAGCCAUCUUGCCGGGAGUGAAGUAAUGUUUUAGACUGCCUGUUCUGAGAUGAGAAAAGAACGGAGAGAAGACAUCAUGCUAGAAAUACCUUCAGCUUAAAGCAUCUGUCAAGGAUGGGGAAUAGACAGGACAGGAGAAUAAAAGUGAUGCCACAAGAGUCA